rnacentral:rRNA from 1 species
AUUGAACGCUGGCGGCAGGCCUAACACAUGCAAGUCGAACGAGUGGCGGACGGGUGAGUAAUGUCUGGGAAUCUGGCUUAUGGAGGGGGAUAACUACUGGAAACUGUAGCUAAUACCGCGUACCAUAGGCUGAGCCCAAGUGGGAUUAGGUAGUUGGUGGGGUAAAGGCUCACCAAGCCGACGAUCCCUAGCUGGUCUGAGAGGAUGACCAGCCACACUGGGACUGAGACACGGCCCAGACUCCUACGGGAGGCAGCAGUGGGGAAUAUUGCGCAAUGGGCGCAAGCCUGAGGCAGCCAUGCCGCGUGAAUGAAGAAGGCCUUCGGGUUGUAAAGUACUUUCAGUGGGGAGGCGUUACCCGCAGAAGAAGCACCGGCUAACUCCGUGCCAGCCGCCGCGGUAAUUC